rnacentral:rRNA from 1 species
UACAGAGGUCUCAAGCGUUGUUCGGAUUCAUUGGGCGUAAAGGGUGCGUAGGCGGCGCGGUAAGUCGGGUGUGAAAUCUCGGAGCUUAACUCCGGAACUGCAUUCGAUACUGCCGUGCUUGAGGACUGGAGAGGAGACUGGAAUUUACGGUGUAGCGGUGAAAUGCGCAGAUAUCAGGAGGAACACCGGUGGCGAAGGCGGGUCUCUGGGCCGAUACUGACGCUGGAGGAGCGAAAGCGUGGGGAGCGAACAGG